rnacentral:rRNA from 1 species
UAAGGAAUAUUGGUCAAUGGACGCAAGUCUGAACCAGCCAUGCCGCGUGAAGGAUGACGGCCCUCUGGGUUGUAAACUUCUUUUAUCUGGGACGAAAAAAGGCCUUUCUAGGUCGACUGACGGUACCAGAGGAAUAAGCACCGGCUAACUCCGUGCCAGCAGCCGCGGUAAUACGGAGGGUGCAAGCGUUAUCCGGAUUUACUGGGUUUAAAGGGUGCGUAGGUGGGUCUGUAAGUCAGUGGUGAAAUCUCCGAGCUUAACUCGGAAACUGCCAUUGAUACUAUAGGUCUUGAAUUAUCUGGAGGUAAGCGGAAUAUGUCAUGUAGCGGUGAAAUGCUUAGAUAUGACAUAGAACACCAAUUGCGAAGGCAGCUUACUACGGAUUUAUUGACACUGAGGCACGAAAGCGUGGGGAUCAAACAGG